ACCAGAAUGAGACUAGACUUGGAG
rnacentral:rasiRNA from 1 species